rnacentral:rRNA from 1 species
GACGAACGCUGGCGGCGUGCUUAACACAUGCAAGUCGAACGGAAAGGCCCUGCUUUUGUGGGGUGCUCGAGUGGCGAACGGGUGAGUAACACGUGAGUAACCUGCCCUUGACUUUGGGAUAACUUCAGGAAACUGGGGCUAAUACCGGAUAGGAGCUCCUGCUGCAUGGUGGGGGUUGGAAAGUUUCGGCGGUUGGGGAUGGACUCGCGGCUUAUCAGCUUGUUGGUGGGGUAGUGGCUUACCAAGGCUUUGACGGGUAGCCGGCCUGAGAGGGUGACCGGCCACAUUGGAACUGGGAUACGGCCCGGACUCCUCCGGGGGGCAGCGGUGGGAAUAUUGCACAAUGGGCGGAAGCCUGAUGCAGCAACGCCGCGUGCGGGAUGACGGCCUUCGGGUUGUAAACCGCUUUCGCCUGUGACGAAGCGUGAGUGACGGUAAUGGGUAAAGAAGCACCGGCUAACUACGUG